GCGUAUGGCUACGGGAUCGAGAUCCGGAACCUCGAGACCUGGGGCGGGUUGAUGGGCCCCGGUCACAACUACUUCGAGAGGGGCAAUUUGGACAUUUUUAGCGGCCGCGGACCCUGCCUCCAAGCCCCCAUCUGCGCCCUGAACCUCACCUCCGACGGAUCCGGGCCCCACCACGGCUGGUACAUCAACUACGUCGAGGUCACCUCCACUGGGGCCCACAUUCCUUGCAGCCAACAGCUCUUCACGAUCGAGCAGUGGCUGGCCACCGAUACGUCCCCGUACGAGCUCACCGCUGUUAGGAAUUACUGUAACUCGGAUGAUGACGGUGUCCAGAAACGGCGUCAUACUCACCG
rnacentral:lncRNA from 1 species